rnacentral:rRNA from 1 species
AAUAAGCAAAAUAAGGGCGUAUGGGGGAUGCCUGUGGCUCUCAGAGGCGAAGAAGGACGUGAUAAGCUGCGAAAAGCUGCGGGGAUUGGCACAUACGAAUUAAUCCGCAGAUCUCCGAAUGGGGCAACCCACUAUGUUGAAGACAUAGUAUCCGCAAGGAAGCGAACCCGCUGAACUGAAACAUCUAAGUAGGCGGAGGAAGAGAAAACAAAAGUGAUUCCGUUAGUAGUGGCGAGCGAACGCGGAACAGCCCAAACCAAUUAUGUUACGGCAUAAUUUGGGGUUGUAGGACUGC